rnacentral:snoRNA from 1 species
AUGAUAUGAUUGUUACAUAGUUCAUCAGAUUAAAUCAUGAAGAUUUUUUUUGUCAUUAUCUGAUGUAUCU